rnacentral:rRNA from 1 species
ACGUAGGGGGCCAGCGUUGCUCGGAAUUACUGGGCGUAAAGGGUCCGUAGGCGGUGCGGCAAGUCGGAAGUGAAAUCUCUGGGCUUAACCCAGAGGCUGCUUCCGAAACUGCCGUGCUAGAGGAUGAGAGAGGCAAGUGGAAUUGCGGGUGUAGCGGUGAAAUGCGUAGAUAUCCGCAGGAACAUCCGAGGCGAAAGCGGCUUGCUGGAUCAUUUCUGACGCUGAGGGACGAAAGCUAGGGGAGCAAACAGGAUUAGAUACCCUGGUAGUCCUAGCCCUAAACCAUCAGGACUUGGGGUUCGCCCUGUACGGGGCGAGUCCCGUAGCUAACGCGUUAAGUCCUGCGCCUGGGGAGUACGGUCGCAAGGCUG